GAUGAACGCUGGCGGCGUGCCUAAUACAUGCAAGUCGAGCGAACGGACGAGAAGCUUGCUUCUCUGAUGUUAGCGGCGGACGGGUGAGUAACACGUGGAUAACCUACCUAUAAGGCUGGGAUAACUUCGGGAAACCGUAGCUAAUACCGGAUAAUAUUUUGAACCGCAUGGUUCAAAAGUGAAAGACGGUCUUGCUGUCACUUAUAGAUGGAUCCGCGCUGCAUUAGCUAGUUGGUAAGGUAACGGCUUACCAAGGCAACGAUGCAUAGCCGACCUGAGAGGGUGAUCGGCCACACUGGAACUGAGACACGGUCCAGACUCCUACGGGAGGCAGCAGUAGGGAAUCUUCCGCAAUGGGCGAAAGCCUGACGGAGCAACGCCGCGUGAGUGAUGAAGGUCUUCGGAUCGUAAAACUCUGUUAUUAGGGAAGAACAUAUGUGUAAGUAACUGUGCACAUCUUGACGGUACCUAAUCAGAAAGCCACGGCUAACUACGUGCCAGCAGCCGCGGUAAUACGUAGGUGGCAAGCGUUAUCCGGAAUUAUUGGGCGUAAAGCGCGCGUAGGCGGUUUUUUAAGUCUGAUGUGAAAGCCCACGGCUCAACCGUGGAGGGUCAUUGGAAACUGGAAAACUUGAGUGCAGAAGAGGAAAGUGGAAUUCCAUGUGUAGCGGUGAAAUGCGCAGAGAUAUGGAGGAACACCAGUGGCGAAGGCGACUUUCUGGUCUGUAACUGGCGCUGAUGUGCGAAAGCGUGGGGAUCAAACAGGAUUAGAUACCCUGGUAGUCCACGCCGUAAACGAUGAGUGCUAAGUGUUAGGGGGUUUCCGCCCCUUAGUGCUGCAGCUAACGCAUUAAGCACUCCGCCUGGGGAGUACGACCGCAAGGUUGAAACUCAAAGGAAUUGACGGGGACCCGCACAAGCGGUGGAGCAUGUGGUUUAAUUCGAAGCAACGCGAAGAACCUUACCAAAUCUUGACAUCCUUUGACAACUCUAGAGAUAGAGCCUUCCCCUUCGGGGGACAAAGUGACAGGUGGUGCAUGGUUGUCGUCAGCUCGUGUCGUGAGAUGUUGGGUUAAGUCCCGCAACGAGCGCAACCCUUAAGCUUAGUUGCCAUCAUUAAGUUGGGCACUCUAAGUUGACUGCCGGUGACAAACCGGAGGAAGGUGGGGAUGACGUCAAAUCAUCAUGCCCCUUAUGAUUUGGGCUACACACGUGCUACAAUGGACAAUACAAAGGGCAGCGAAACCGCGAGGUCAAGCAAAUCCCAUAAAGUUGUUCUCAGUUCGGAUUGUAGUCUGCAACUCGACCACAUGAAGCUGGAAUCGCUAGUAAUCGUAGAUCAGCAUGCUACGGUGAAUACGUUCCCGGGUCU
rnacentral:rRNA from 1 species